CUACUACUCCCUCCGUCCCAAAAUUCUUGUCUUAGAUUUGUCUAAAUACGGAUGUAUCUAAAUGUAACUAGAUACAUCCGUAUUUAGACAAAUCUAAGACAAGAAUUUUGGGACGAAGGGAGUAUAAG
rfam:Triticum urartu cultivar G1812 contig1229093, whole genome shotgun sequence.